rnacentral:rRNA from 1 species
UUAUGGUUCCUUAGAUGGUACAAACAGUUACUUGGAUAACUGUGGCAAUUCUAGAGCUAAUACAUGCAAACAGAGUCCCGACCAUUCUUUGGAAGGGAUGCUUUUAUUAGAUCAAAACCAAUCAGGCCUCACGGCCUGUUGCUCUUGGUGACUCUGAAUAACUUUCGGCUGAUCGCAUGGUCUCGUACCGGCGACGCAUCUUUCAAAUGUCUGACUUAUCAACUUUCGAUGGUAGGCUCUGCGCCUACUAUGGUUGUAACGGGUAACGGGGAAUCAGGGUUCGAUUCCGGAGAGGGAGCCUGAGAAACGGCUACCACAUCCAAGGAAGGCAGCAGGCGCGCAAAUUACCCACUCCCAGAACGGGGAGGUAGUGACGAAAAAUAACGAUGCAGAACUCAUUCCGAGGCUCUGCAAUCGGAAUGAGUACACUCUAAAUCAUUUAACGAGUAUCCAUUCGGAGGACAAGUCUGGUGCCAGCACCCGCGGUAAUACCAGCUCCAAUAGCGUAUAUUAAAGUUGUUGCGGUUAAAAAGCUCGUAGUUGGAUCUGUGUUCCACGCUGUCGGUUCACCGUUUUGUCGGUGUCUAACUGACAUGUCUUGAAACGUCCUGCCGGUUGGCUCCUGUCGCGGUGAUCUUCAUCGAGUGUCGAGGCGGGCCGGCACGUUUACUCUGUACAAAUUUGAGUGCUUAAAGCAGGCUAUAACCGCCGCCACACUGUGUGCAUGGUAUAAUAUCAUAGGACCGCGGUUCUAUUUUGUUGGUUUUCAGAGUCCGAGGUAAUGAUUAAUAGGGACAGGCGGGGGCAUUAGUAUUGCGACGUUAGAGGUGACAUUCUUGGAUCGUCGCAAGACUCACAUAAGCGAAAGCAUUUGCCAAGGAUGCUUCCAUUAAUCAAGAACGAAAGUUAGAGGUUCGAAGGAGAUCAGAUACCGCCCUAGUUCUAACCAUAAACGAUGCCAGCCAGCGAUCCGUCGACGUUCCUCCGAUGACUCGACGGGCAGCUUACGGGAAACUAAAGCAUUUGGGUUCCGGGGGAAGUAUGGUUGCAAAGCUGAAACUUAAAGGAAUUGACGGAAAGGCACCACCAGGAGUGGAGCCUGCGGCUUAAUUUGACUCAACACGGGAAAUCUCACCAGGCCAGAACACCAGGUGGAUUGACAGAUUGAGAGCUCUUUCUUGAUUUGGUGGGUGGUGGUGCAUGGCCGUUCUUAG